GAAAUUCGCCUGUAUGAAGCCGGAAUUGCUAGUAAUGGCAGGUCAGCAUACUGCCGUGAAUACGUUCCCGGGCCUUGUACACACCGCCCGUCACACCAUGAGAGUUGGGGAUACCCAAAGCCCGUGAGCCAACUAUAAAGAGGCAGCGGUCUAAGGUAGAAUCAAUGAUUGGGGUGAAGUCGUAACAAGGUAAC
rnacentral:rRNA from 1 species